rnacentral:tRNA from 1 species
GUUGAGUUGGUGCAGUGGUAGCACGACGAUCUCCAAAAUCGUAGACGCGGGUUCGAUUCCUGCACGCAGCG